GUGGUGGUUAUGCUGGUAACAAGUUUGGGUUUGCCAGUGGCAGCUGUGGUGAACUAUGCUGACAACACAGGCUAAGAAUCUUUACAUUAUAUCGGUGAAAGGAAUCAAGGAUAGCCUCAACAGAUUGCGGUGAAUUUUUUACGCAACUGGAAUUUUUAAUUUUUUUUUACCAAAAAUGCACAUGUUACACUUUAUUUACACAUCUAACAUCAUUUACUAUUCACACUCAGAAUUCGAUUUCUGGGAAACCGAAUUCUGAGCUUAAAUUUUUUUUUUGUGAUCAGAAUUCAGUUCCUGGGAAACCGAAUUCCGAGUAGUUUUUAAUUUUUUUUUUGCACAUGUAAACUGCUAAUUUUGAAAUUAGAACGGCUGCAGAACGGGCCGUUCUAGAGUUAAGCUUUAACGCAUAACUUGAGUUCUGAAACGGCCCGUUUCAAACUAGGAUUUAGUCAUUUUUAGUAUGUUGGAAUGGGCCGUUCUGGUUUUGGAACUACCCCUUCCAAAAUAGGAAUUUAGGCUUUUUUUAUUAGUUUGAAACGGGUCGUUCUAAAACCGGAAUGACCCGUUCCAAAACUGGAACGACACGUUUCAAAAUCGGAACCGCCUGUUCAGGGCAAACAUAGAAUUCAAUAUUUUUCCUAUAAAUAUGCCCUCUACCCUUCAUUCUUUUCACACGGUUUCAGCUUACUUUUUUCAAUCCUUUACUCUACUCCUUUUGAAUCAUUCCUAAGUAAAAAAUUCUUUUUUUGGUUCGAUUUUCAUUUACCAAAUACCAAAAAUAUUAUUGUGAAAGCAAAAUGAACAUAGGUCUGUCUUCAUUGGUACAGUGGUAAGUUGAACACUUUCGUUAUUUACUUUAAAUUUUAAUGAACUUGUAACAAAUUAGUACUAAUUUUGUUAAUCAUCGCAAGAGAAUGAGAAUAUUAUUUACUUUUACUGUCAUUCAAUGCCAGAACCCCACCCUCUAAUUGUUCUUAUACUAGAGGAAGUUGGUUUUUCUGGGAUUACAAACCUCAGACAUCUCAAGGUGGAUCACGCAUUAGUCACAACUUUGGUUGAAAGAUGGAGACCUGAGACUCAUACCUUCCAUUUUCCAACAGGAGAGUGCACGAUAAUAUUAGAGGAUGUUGUACUUCAACUUGGCCUAAGAGUUGAUGGUUUACCAGUCAUUGGCCCAAUAUUAUAUGACCGGCUCAGAAUCGUGCCAGUUAAAUGUGAGUCACUAAUUGGCUCUAUGAUUAAGUUAAAGUGGUUGAGAGAAAAUAUGUUAGAAUUAGCAGAGGAACCAUCUCAAGAAGAACUUCAUGCAUAUUGUAAGGCAUAUAUAUUAAGUUUAAUAGGAGGUGUUUUGAUGCCUGACAAAGCAGACAAUAAGGUACAUCUUAUGUAUUUAUCUUUAUUAAUAAAUCUUAGAAAAACAAGACGAUAUAGUUGGGGAUCUGCUUGUUUGGCUAUGUUAUAUAGGGAAAUGUGUAGAGCUACAGAUGUUAGCAGCAAAACAAUUAGUGGUUGUGCAUCUUUGUUACAGUCUUGGACAUGGCAUCGCAUGCCAUAUAUCUUUGCUAGAGGGAAUGUUGAUGGUACCCUAUAUGGCAUGCGAUGCCAUGUCCAAGACUGUAACAAAGAUGCACAACCACUAAUUGUUUUGCUGCUAACAUCUGUAGCUCUACACAUUUCCCUAUAUAACAUAGCCAAACAAGCAGAUCCCCAACUAUAUCGUCUUGUUUUUCUAAGAUUUAUUAAUAAAGAUAAAUACAUAAGAUGUACCUUAUUGUCUGCUUUGUCAGGCAUCAAAACACCUCCUAUUAAACUUAAUAUAUAUGCCUUACAAUAUGCAUGAAGUUCUUCUUGAGAUGGUUCCUCUGCUAAUUCUAACAUAUUUUCUCUCAACCACUUUAACUUAAUCAUAGAGCCAAUUAGUGACUCACCUUUAACUGACACGAUUUCGAGAUACGUGGAACACAUAUCCUCCCGGUCAUAUAAUCUUGGGCCAAUGACUGGUAAACCAUCAACUCUUAGGCCAAGUUUAAGUGCAAUAUCCUCCGGUGUUAUCGUGCACUCGCCUGUUGGAAAAUGGAAGGUAUGAGUCUCAGGUCUCCAUCUUUCAACCAAAGCUGUGACUAAUGCGUGAUCCACCUUGAGAUGUCUGAGGUUUGCAACCCCAGAAAAACUAACUUCCUCUAGUAUAGGAACAAUUAGAGGGUGGGGUUCUGACAUUGAAUGAUAGUAAGAGUAAAUAAUAUUCUCAGUCUCCUGCAAUGAUUAACAAAAUUAGUACUAAUUUGUUACAAGUUCAUUGAAAUUUAAAGUAAAUAACGAAAGUGUUCAACUUACCGUUGUACCAAUGUAGGCAGACCUAUGUUUAUUUUGCUUCCAUAAUAAUAUUUUUGGUAUUUGAUAAAUAAAAAUCAAACCAAAAAAAGAAUUUUUUACUUAGAAAUUGAUUCAGAAGGAGUAGAGGGAAGGAUUGAAAAAAGUAAGCUGAAAUCGUGUGGAGAGAAUGAAAGGUGGAGGGCGUAUUUGUAGGAAAAGCAUUGGAUUUCCUAUUUUCCCAGAAUGGGCCGUUUCAAAACCAGAACGAUUCGUUCUAACCCACGAUUUUAUGCCUAAAACCGUAGUUUGGAACAGGCCGUUCCGGUUUUGGAAUGGUCCAUUUCAAACUAAUAGAAAAGGCCUAAAUUCCUAUAUUGGAACGGGUAGUUCCAAAACUAGAACGGCCCGUUCCAACAUACUAAAAAGGACUAAAAUCCUAGUUUGAAACGGGCCGUUUCAGAACUCAAGUUAUGCAUUAAAGCUUAACUCUAGAACAGUUCGUUUUGCGGCCGUUCUAAUUUCAAAAUUAACAGUUUACGUGUGCAAGCAGAACGAGCCGUUUCAGUUCCAAGAUUCGCGUAAUCUGGGCCACAAGAAAAAAGAAUUAAAAACUACUCAGAAUUCGGUUCCUGGGGAAUUGAAUUCUGAUGGCAAAAAAAAAUUUUUGAAACUCAGAAUUCGGUUCCCCGGGAACCGAUUUCUGAGUGUGAACAAUGAAUGGUGCUAGAUGUGUAAAUAAAGUAUAAUAGAUGCGUUUUUGGUAUUGCCAGCUGGUAUUGUGAGACAACAAAAGCCAUGGUGAAGAAAGGAUGGCGUCUACAUGUACUUUGAAGGUUGUUCGUGUGUUUGUUGGUUUAUAUGAGAUUUGUCAUUUGCAUACUCUUGUUUAGGUUCUGCCAUAACUGGGCCUAUUGGGAAGGAGUGUGCUGAUCUGUGGCCUAGAAUUGCAAGUGCUGCCAAUUCCGUUGUUUGAGUGUUAAAGUUAUUGAUCAAUUUUCAACAUGGUCAACAUUCAAAUGAAUUUUUUGACCAGUUAGCCAUUGAAUUUUCUACGAUCGUAGAAUGUGAAGACAUUUUUCAAUAGGAGUUAUACAAUAUUUUGUUUAUUUUUAAGUUUUUUACAGGAAACAUUUCAUUGGUACAUUAUGAACAUUAAUUGAAGCUGUAACUCGCAGCCUAUUGAGUUGGGGCACGUUGGAUUGAAAUUUUUUUUGCUUGCAGAUUCAUGUUUGAUUGUACAUGAUGAAUGGUUCCACUGAAAUGAUCCAAGAAGUAAAAUAACCA